GCUACACUCGGCUUGUGCUUCUGCUGUUUCUCCUUCCCAAACUGUCGAGAGCUACUUCGAAGGAAAUCAAUGGCGGCUGAGAACAAACCCAGUGCCAGUUCCAAUUCUAAUUCUGGGAAUAACAAUGGAGGCAAGGGAAAGAAGCGCAAGUACCUUCCCCAUGGGAAACCAGUGAGAAAGGGUUCGUACCCGUUGCAUCCUGGCGUGCAGGGCUUCUUCAUCACCUGUGAUGGUGGGAGGGAGCGCCAGGCCACCAAUGAAGCUCUUAAUCUACUUGACACUUUCUAUGAAGAGCUAGUGCAUGGAAAAACUUCCAGCACAAAUAGCAGGACGAUUCCUAGUAAACCCUUGAAUAAAAUAACUAAAUUCAAGGAUUCUGAUUCUUCGAGUGAUGAAGAUGAUUCUUCACAACCAAAUGAUCAAAAUGUUGAGAAAUCUGCUGAGGAAAGUGAAGAAUCACUGGCAAAGAAGCAAAAUGAUCAAAAUGUUGAGAAAUCUGCUGAGAAAAGUGAGAAAUCACUGGUGAAGGAGCAAAAUGAUCAAAAUGUUGAGAAAUCUGCUAAGGAAACUGAGAAAUCACUGGUGAAGGAGCAAAAUGAUCAAAAUGUUGAGAAAUCUGUUGAGGAAACUGAGGAAUCACCAGUAAAGAAGCAACGGGUAGAAGGCAAUUCAUCUAAUUGUAAAAACAUUGAGUCUGAUAAAGCUAAAGAUAAAUGCAUAGAUGAUCUGAUCGAAGAUGAACUCAAAGAAUUGGGCGAUAGGAACAAGAGGCAUUUCGCAAGCCUUGAUUCAGGUUGUAAUGGUGUUAUCUUCAUACAAAUGCAUAAAAAGGAUGGAGUUCCUGGUCCAUCUAGCAUUGUACAGCACAUGAUGACUUCUGCUGCUUCCACAAGAAAACACAUGUCAAGAUUCAUUCUGAGAAUUCUACCUGCUGAAGUUGCAUGUUAUGCUUCAGAAGAGGAAAUUACAAAAGCGAUUAAACCGCUUGUUGAACAUCAUUUUCCAGCUGAACCUCCAAAUCCACAAAAGUUUGCAGUGUUAUAUGAAGCACGAUCCAAUACUGGCAUUGAAAGGAUGCCCAUCAUCAAUGCUGUUGCAAAAUCUGUUCCUCAACCACAUAAAGUGGACCUUAAGAACCCAGAUAAAACUAUCAUAGUUCAAAUUGUCAAGACUAUUUGCUUAGUGGGCGUGGUCAAAAAGUACAAAGAGCUGUCUAAAUACAAUCUGAGGCAACUUACUUCCCCACAAGGAUCCGAAAAUAACUAAUGUGCUUAGAAGACGGUCCAAGUGAAGAUUCUAGGGGUAAAUUUUUUGAAAGGUCACCCGGUUUUUUCCUGCCCCUUUUUGCUUACGUGGCUAUCGGAGGAGGUGAGUCAGGCUACUCUUGACACGCUGGAUGGCUUAGCUGGACACGCCACGUUAGCUCCUUCUUCUCCAAGAGGAUUUUGGUUACAUAACAAGAGUGAAGAAGUCAGCUUCUUCUUCUCCAAGCUAGCAUUGACAAUGGGAAGACGAGGGUGAACAAGUCAAGGCUCAAUCGAGCUGCUAAGUAGGAGUGGAUCUUCUAACGUGUUUUGUUUGUUUGUUUUUUUUAUGCCCUAGCUGUGAAGUUUAGAUUCCUGUGUGUUUCAAUGUAAAUAAUUGGAAAGAAUGGAGAUUAGAUUCUUUUUAAUCCUUGUUAAAACCCUAGCUGAGAAGUUUAGUUUUUGUGUAAUCAUCUGUAAAACCCUAGCUGCAUAACCAAAAUCCUCUUGGAGAAGAAGAAGCUGACGUGGUGCCCCUUCACCUGACGUGGCGUGCGCUGCUUGAGCUAGUGAGCUUCACUUGACAUGGCGUGUCCAACUAAGCCAUCCAGCGUGUCAGGAGCAACCUGACUCACCCCUCCGGCAGCCACGUAAGCAAAGGGGGGUGGGAAAAGACCGGGUGACCUGCCGGUGUGAUGAAAUCAAAAGUGAGUGAUCAAAAAAAUUCAAAUUGAAGCUGGGUGAUCAAUUUGCAAAAUGAUGAAAGGUGGGUGACCUUUCAAAAAAUUUACUCAGAUUCUAGAGUGACUUGGGCUAUGAAAAUGAUGCGUAACUCGACAUUAAUUAAGAUUUUCUGAGGAAAGCAAUCAAUACCAACAAAUUUAUAUGGUGUCGAUCCUCAUGUGGUCUGGUAAAGACGUAAGCAACAUCGAAUGACAAGGUAGAAAGAAUGGUGUGAAGAUAUGAUUGAUGGUCAAUCAAAUCUUCAAGUGAGAGAAAUGUAAGUCAAAUAUUGUAGCUGAGAAAAAAGUGAGGGCGAGAGAGAAAAUGGGAGAAAAAUAGUGAGAAGAAGAGUUAGAGGAUCUGUGUUGCUUAUAUUAUAGGAGAGAAUAAGUUCUCUUU